CUGGGUCCAGUGUUUGUGUGCGUGAUAAUCACUCAGUGCAUCACUUUUCAGACCUCUCACAAGAGAUGGUUUGUAUGUCCACUACACUACCCACCAUUAGGUCCAGACAAAGAAGGGAGAGUGGGGUGGAGGUGUGUGAGAGUGGGGUAAAGGUGUGUGAGAGUGGGGUAAAGGUGUGUGAGAGUGGGGUGGAGGUGUGUGAGAGUGGGUGGAGGUGUGUGAGAGUGGGUGGAGGUGUGUGUGAGUGGGGUGGAGGUGUGAGAGUGGGUGGAGGUGUGUGUGAGUGGGGUAAAGGUGUGUGAGAGUGGGUGGAGGUGUGUGAGAGUGGGGUGGAGGUGUGUGAGAGGGGGUAAAGGUGUGUGAGAGUGGGUGGAGGUGUGUGAGAGUGGGGUAAAGGUGUGUGAGAGUGGGUGGAGGUGUGUGAGUGGGGUAAAGGUGUGUGAGAGUGGGUGGAGGUGUGUGAGAGUGGGGUGGAGGUGUGAGAGUGGGGUGGAGGUGUGUGAGAGUGGGGUAAAGGUGUGUGAGAGUGGGUGGAGGUGUGUGUGAGUGGGUGGAGGGUUAACAGUCCGCUCAGCGGGUGAACGUUGUGUGAAGACGCUGUGGGAACGCGUGCGGCUCCGUUCGGGAACAGAAGCUCUUUGAUCAGUUAAAUGUUGUGACGAGAACCCCG